AUAGCCCCGCUGUUCCCUCCGGGAGCCGGGGCUCGGAGCGGCGGCGCUGACCCUUCCGCCCUGCUAUCAAUAGAUGGCAGCAGGCGGCUCCUUGUGUCCCAGCGCCGCGGCAGCGGGAGGCUCCCGGCGGGAGCGCUCCCGACAGGCCCCACAGGGCCGGGCGAGCAGGCUGGGCUCGAACCGCGCCGCAAGGCACGGCUGUGGACAUGGCCCUGCGGCAAAACGUCCCGACGCGUUUGCACGUCGUGUUAAAUUCAGUACAUUCACAACAGGAAGAACCUAAGGCAACACAUCUCAAGAGCUUCUUUGGUUGUUUCUGACAUACUCUGACAAGAAGUAAUUACAGGCCACAUACAGUCUUUCACAACCUUUUCUGAAGUAGCUUUUAAAGACAAAUAAUACAGGGCUCCUUGUUCUUCACCUGUCAGUGCCCUCCUGCUCAGAGUUGCUGCUGUUUCUUGCACACCCAGGCAAGAAGAAGAAGAAGGGGCAGAAGUUAUGCAAUGUGACCAGGAGCAGACUCUGGGAAACCAAAGCACCUCAGUCUAAACAUAACAGAGCCCUGAUGUGAUGAGGCUGAUUUCACACAUAGAGGUUUUUCUCUGUGAUAACUGUAUCAGUUAUCCACAGUGGUCUGCAAAUGUCUGGAAAUGCUGAACAUUUUGGAUACCUCAGAAACUUCAGCCUCCACAUGCUCCCAGAUCAGGAGACAUGCAAGAAAAGUGAACUCAAUGUCCCAGGAAUCACUGAGGCCAGUGUUCACUGUGAGGGCCAGGAUAACUCACUGGAUGGCCCUAUAGCUACAAAAGGCGAGUUGCAACCCAUGCCCAGGAGCUGUGUCAGGAAGGUCCUGACCCUUAAGAGCCUGAUUUUUCUUCAAGAAAGAAGGAAAUCUGUAUCUUAUUGGAAACAGAAGAAAUUUCAGUGGAGCUCACACUUCAGUGAAAUUCUGCCUUGGUAUUCAAACUAGUGGAGACAUUUCACUGAGUUUCAUGAAGAUGAAACUAAGAUGAAACUAAGUCCUGUUAAUAUAGGUGGCCAGAGGGAGAAGCAAAGAUGUAUAAGUGUGGAGCUGAAGGAAGAUUGCUGUCACUGGGAAGCAUGGUUGCCUUUCUGGGCUCGGUGCCACAAUGAAAUGUCAGGUCUGGAGGCCUCAUGCUCAUUGCAUCUGGAAAGAAAUGCAUCUUCACAGAGCAGAGAGAUGAGCUGCAGAAGUCACCCUGUCUUUUGAGCACUAGUUAUGUGUUGCAGCAUCACACCCUACCACACUGGCCUCGUGUUGGAUGUGAAGUACUUCUGCUUUCCAGCUGGCAGUGGUAAGUGUAAGCCUUCAGAAGCAUCCUCACCAGCCAAGAUGUGAAGUGGUCACACCAGCAGAGGUCCAGCAUGGAGUGUGUUGAUUAAUGACCUUCCUUUGCAUACACAGGAGAAAAUUCAUAUUUGGACAGGUACAGUUAACAGUUAACACUGAUUUUGGUCCACUUCAUCUUCUUAUGACCUGAGAUCAGAUCAGGGAUUUUAGUGAGUAGGACUAAUCAUGGUAUAUUUUAAUAUCCCUUAAGUAAUUCUCCCUCAUCAAAAAAUAUAAGAGCAGAUUUCACUUCUUUUGUAGGAGUAAUGCUAAUAGAUGCAGAAAAUAAAAUGCUAUUUUAGAUUUACUUUGAAUUAUGUGAAAAUAAUGGUCAAGAUAAAAAGGAAUUGUGGAUGGUAUCUGGAUAAAGGCUAACAACAAUCUGCAUAUUUACAGAUUACACAGUUUAAACAAAUAGACAUGAAUAAAUCCUGAAAUGCAUAUGAGAAUAAAAUACUACUCAGAUGUGCAAAAAGAGAAAAAAGGAAAGGGAGUGACAAGGUUUAGAGAUCCAAGGGUGGCUGAAAAUAUUCAAUUUAAUUUUGCUCCAGUUUGUACAUUUUGUUAAAUUCUAAUUUAUGUUGUCUCCAGUUUAAGAGAAAUAAAAAUCUUUCCUUUAAAUUCCUACCACUAUCAGAUGGGCACUAAGAUUUAUAUGCAAUCAUCACAUUUGGACUGCUCACAAGAUCAGACUAGAACAAAAGAAAUUAAACCUACUUUUCCUCCAAUGCAGACUUUCCAGAAAGUCUUUAAAAAAAAAAAAUUAAGUCAUCAGUUUGGAGAGGACACUGAGAAAUAAAAUCAGAAUACCUUGACUGGAAAAGGAGAAUAUCACUGGCUGACCACAUGCUCCAAAAGAAGUUCUAAGAAAUCAACUGGUUGUCCAGCUGACUGUGGUGUGCAGUCAUUGUAUGUAGUGUCAAUAUUCCCUCAGCUGAGGAGGGAUCUGCAGCAAACUGGCACCUAACUCUGGAGACAAAUCUUUUUUCUCUUCAGCCAGUUUCUCUUUGCAAUAAUUAACAACGGUUACUACAGUGAAUCCCUUUGGAAUUCAAAAUGUUCAUCAAUCAAAAAAAGCCAAAACUCUGGAUACAGAAAAGACUUGAUUUCUUGGAGCUCUAGCUUUCAUUUUCUUCUUUUAUUUGUUCCAUGUAAAAACAAAGAUGUCUUGGUAUAGUUACAAGAAAUGUGAAACUCAGUUUGUGGGAGAGCAAAACAAUGAUCUCAAGAUAACUGAGCAAGCACAUCAGCUACAGUCACAGUUUAUUUGUGUGUGAAUCAUGAGCCUGAUGAAUGCAAACUGUUGACUCGAAGUGUUCCCCGAGCAGUUCAGAGGUCUCUUUGAUCACACAAAUUAAUAUCAAGUGGGCCACUGACUAUAUUGGUUGUAUGUUGUGCAGAAUUCUCAAACUUUAACAUCAGGAAAAUAAAAGACAAAUAGACUCAGAUGAAGAACAAAAGUCUUUCUCAAAGACUUUUUCUCCUACAUUUUUACAAUGUAUUCGACAUUCAUCUCUUAUUAAGCUAUUUGAAGAAUGACAAAUUAAGAAUUACACAGUAUGGCAGAAGUGGGUCACCACUUAAUUAAAGAUGCAUGACCAGUGGGAACCAUUUUUGUGUGAAAAGUCAUUUUAUUUCCAGGGUUCUGGAUAAAGACAAUUUUGAUGAACAUUUGGUUCAGAAACAGCUUAACUGAUAGACAGCCUGUGUACACAGACAGUGGACCCAUUAAUUGAGACAGUAACAACCAAUUUACUGGCAAGUGAUUUUGUGAAUACAGGCUAAAACAACAGAGAUUCUGAAGGACCUAAUGGUCCUCAUCACUUCAACCAAGAGCAUUUGCUUAAGCUGUGCAUGAAAAGAUGUCAGUGCCCCAAACUGGACUUAGACCUAACAAGACCUCCCAAGAGGUUGCUCUGAUGCAGGACUCUCAGUCUCCCUGCAUCAAUUUUCCUCUGCUUGGCACAGUAGUACCACUCUGUCAAAUUAUAGCCACCAGAUUUAGCACAGCAAUCGGUAUUUGCUCUCUCUCUUUGGCCCACUCCACGGAAAGCAAAGAACAAAGUCACAACCUCCUCACCCCAGAACAACCUGGAGCAAUAUCUUCCUGCACACAAGAAAUUGCUGGAUCCAGACAGCAGAGAUAAGAUUUUUUUUAUUAUUAUUACUGUCACAAUUUUAAGGAAAAAAAAGAAAAAAGGAAAAAAUGGUAAACAUCUUUGAAGUCUUUUUCUGUCUUUUCUCUCAAAGUUCACAGUAUCUCACUACUCAGCAGCUAAUUAGCAUGAUGUUGAAAAACAGUGCUGUGAGUCAGUGCCAAGUGACAGGGGAGGGGAGAGGGCUGGAGACUGGUUCAAGCACACACAUUCCUUCCUCUGCAGCCUGACCACAGGCACAGGGAAGGGAGGAACCUGACUAAGAGGAAAGCAUCAUGAUUUCUGAUUUACUGGCAAGCCACAGACGUGAGAAUGGCACUCUCAGUGCUUCUCUCACAUCUUUUGCAAUACUUUUCAAGCAGGAAUUUGGAACUGAAAUAAUUAAACAACAUAAUUAGACAUUUAUUUUAACUCUGUGGGCCAACGUGUUGGCUGAGGCUUUGCAAAUGACGAAAACCACAGCUGCCAUGUUCAGCUUUGGGAGCAGCUCAGCUGCACUAUGUGUCAUCAGUUCCCAUCCUGCUCUCUUGUUUUAAUUAGACUCUCUUGCAGGCAACAAAUCAGACUGAUAUUCUUCCUAAAUGCUGCAAGUGCCCAGAGCAAACUGUGAAUACUAAGGGAAAAACAAAAAGACAAACUAGAUGUUUGUGUUCUUAUAUAUAUGAGAUACAAGAACCUUACCAAUACAGUUAAAUCUAUUGAAAUAGCCACAUUCAAAAGUGGCAUCCUUCUGUCCCAGUAGUGUUACUUCAAAGCUGUUAGGCAGAAUUCUUCUGGCAAAGAGACUUUCCAUGUGCUCAGGCUUGGAUUAUGUAAGGCUCCUGGCCCAGGUCCUACCUUCACUGUUCCUUCUCCAACAUUUCUUCCCACCAAGGGGAUAAUGCCUUGUAUUGCCUGUGGUAGCAGCUAAGAAAGGGUGGAUGUGGCAAUAGGGAUGUGUUGCCCGUGCCUCCCUCCAGUCUGCUCAGUAAAUACCACAAGUCCUUUAAUUUUAAAGCCCUCAAUUGUCUCACUUUGCACAAAAGCAAGGAAUCAGAUCAACUCCAUUUAUUUAAAGUGACCAUGAGAAAAUCAUUUGCCCUUCUUUAGGUGGGAGCACAGGGCACUGCAGGCUCUAAACCAGAAACAUUCCUGUUUGCUUUUAUUCAUCCCUCUUUCCCCCCUCAAAAACAAACAAACAAACAAACACCAAAAAAACCCAAAACAACAACAACAACAAAAAAAUCAAAAACAAAACCAUCUCCCCUGGAGUUAGGGAGAUGGGAAAUCACCAACCAUAUGAAUUUUAACAAAGUGCUGAAUUCUUUGCCUGGGAUGGGGCAAGCCUGGAUGUACGGACAGACUGGAGAAUGAGACGCUGGAGAGCAGCACCACUUACAGGAGGUGAUGACAAGAUGAGCUUCACCUCAAGUCUUGUGUGCAGUUUUGGGCACCACCAAAUGAGAAAGAUAAAAAGUUAUUAGGGAGCGUCCAAAGAAGGGCCACAAAGAUGGUAAAGGGUCUGAAGGGAGAGCUGUAUGAGGAGAGGAUGAGGUCACUUGGCUUGUUCAGCCUGGACAAGAGAAGACUGAGGCGGGCACCUGAUGGUGUUCUUCAACAUCCUCACAAGGGCAAGUGGAGGGGCUCCAAUCUCUUCUCUGUGAUGACCAGUGACAGUACCUGAGGGAAUGGACUGAAGCUGUGUCAGGGAAGGUUUACUUUGGGUAUCAGGAAAAGUUUUUUCACCCAGAGGCCUGCUGGAAGAAGCUUUUGGCCAAUGUUCUUGGGCACAUAGUGUGAUCCUUGGGGCUGUCCUGUGCAGGGCCAGGAGCUGGACUCAGUGAUCCUUGUGGGUCCCUUCCAACUCAGGAUAUUCCAUGAUUCUAUGAUUUUGUAAAAUUAAAACACUGAAUCUUUCUUCUUCAAUAUUUUCCUCUUCUUGAAGAACUUUUUGAACCUAUGACCUGUUUCCCAUCACCUGUGCAUCCUCAUUUUGGCCAGUAAUAUGUUUUCCCUGUAUUGUAUGUCAAAGGACUUUGUGAAUUGCUCACAUCUUCCCCUCUCAUGAUCUGCAUCUGCCCACAGAGUCCCCAGAAGCACACACAGCAAAACACGUUGUGCAAAAGGGACCAAGUGGAGCAAACAGAUGUAAUAAGUAGAAAAUAGAACUUACUGUGGAGGAAAAAGAUUAAGCAUGUCAGGGCCUUGGCACUGCCUCUUGAGAUGAAUCUUAGCUCCCAUAAUUUCUCAUCAGCUGCAGAUGAGAUGUUCCUAUAAUAGGAGGGAAAGGGAGGGGAAACUCACAGUGUCCCAAAGCCCCCUAAAAGUUAAGAAAGCUAUGCUAAUAUUGUAAUACUUGGUUAAAUAGCAAUGAAAUGUUAGUACAGAUGUUAGAUGUACAUUUCAACAUAGAUGUUAUAUAUAGUUAUAUAGAUGUUUAUAUAUAGUUAGUUAUCUAUAUAUGCAACAUAAAUGCUGUCAAAGAUUCAAACUAUAACCCCCAUCACUAACAGACAACUGAAGGGAAUAAAUCCAGAUCUCAAACAUUAAAUCAUUCCAUGCCAGACAGCAGUAUAUAUUUGUUAUCGCACUAUCGAAGUAUUCUGAGCACAGUAGCAGUAGCUUUUCUUCAGAAAAAGAGUCCCAGGCAUGGAGUGAGAAAAAAUCCAUUUUAGCAGGUUUCAUUCUUUGAAAGAGGUGGGGACUCUAAUCUCUACUAUUUCUAAACUGGCUAAGACAUAAAAUGCAGCUUCCACUUUUUUAACUAUUUUAAUUUUUUUAAAAAUAUUCCCAAAGAAAAUUAUUUUAAGCCAUUCUCAAAUCAGCAGAUCAUUCUACAUAAAGAUCUGAAUUACUUGUACACUGCAUGAGCCAUACAGUAACACAUUAAUUACCGAAUAAACUACGGCUUUGAAGGAUGAUUACAGCUGAGGCCCUGGGCAUGCACAGAGCAAGAUCCUAUAAUCUGAAAUUAUCUUGAUUGGGAAAAACAGUGGAGAAGUAGCUUUUCUCCUGAUAUUGUGGAGGUAAACUGUUUUAGUGAGGCACUAUGCACAGUGACAGGGAAAUUGGGAAAAAAAACCUAGUGAAGACUCUCUCCAGAAUGUGAAUAACUGGGUUUUGAAAAUAUGGGACUCACAUUCAUAGUCAUUAUCAUAUUAGUAAUACAAAUUUCAUUAUCCUGAAAUUUCAUUAUAUUCUGAAAUAUAUGUAUUUUAAUAUAAUUCUAAAAGAUUGUGAAAGGUUGAAUAACAAAAUCAUCAGAGCUGUGAUUGCAUGAAUCCACAGAUGACAAAUUCACAAUUCUGGGCACUCAUCUAAUUUUCUUAAGUGAGGGCAUAUGAAAAAAUACUCAAUUGUUCAGCUGGGUUGAGGUAACUGAGGGAAUAAACACUGCUAGAAUAAUUGCCUGUUGACAUAUUGGAAAGCAUGUACAUGUUUGCCAAGGCAGGCAGCUCCUAGGGAUUAUGCUUUUCUCUGAAAAGCUAUCAGCCUGCAGCAUGUAUCUGAGUUUACUAAAAGAGGUUUAAGAAAAUAUGUUGAACUGCAAACAAAAAUAGUACCAAGUGCAGGCACAGCUCAAACAGCUGCAUUGCAGUAGAUGUUUGCUUUGAACAUCGUGACAGAACAGCAUUCAACAAAACUAUCCAGUGCGUGCGCUCAGAAAGGAUGCCAGGAUGUUGCCAGCUCUUGUACUCCCACUUACUGGGAUGACAAAGCCACGAGCACAAUUGUCAGGCAGAAAGAAGAAAUGAACUGUGCUGAGGUGCUUCGAACAAAGGAACAUAAAGAUUUCUGUGAUCAGCUUAUAUGUCACUAGACUAUAAGGGGAGAAAAGGCACAGGGAUGGGUGAAAAACUGACUGAUGAGACCACUAGAGACACAUACUGAAAGAUAAAGGAUUGGCACUGCAGAGAGGAAAAUCUCUGCACAGUACUGAAAAGAAAGGAUGAGCAAUAGAUUACAGAAGAAUGUAGAAAAACUAAAUAAUAUUUAAAAAAAUAAACAUUGAAAAGCUUGCAAGGUCUUUGGGUCAAAGUGUCUCUUCCUGUAUAUCUUACCAAGCUGACCCAGACAGGGUCCCUGCGGCUACAGCUACAUGGCAGACAUGAAUGUUAAAGCAAUUGUGUUCCUCAGGGCCCCAGGAUCUGUCAAAUCUCUUACCAGACAUUCCUCACUAAUGAAAAAAAGUGUGCUGAAAAAGAUUACAAUUAAUCAGCUUGGUUGGUUGUUUUUAAGUGAAUGAUAGGAGCUCAGGUGUUGAAAAUUAUCUGAGCUAACAGCUACAUGUUAAAUAGAAGUGGUAGGCAGGCUCCACAGCAGGACUACCCAACCCAGUUUUUUCCCCAUAAAAUUGCAUUCAGCAACCUUCAAAGUGGAAGUACUCAAAUCCCUUUGAAAACACCCGAAAUCCUCGCUGACAACCUUCUACUCUUCUGUAUGUCUUCUUCAGCCUGCCUAAUUCAGUAUCUAGUCUCAAGAGGAUGCCAAAUUACUCAUUCAUCCACCAAAGUCUUAAACAGAAACUGUUUAAACAGGUUUCAUAAUGCCCAUAAUUCACUCAGGACAAGACACUCUGUGAAUGCUACUUGCAUUGAACUAGUGCAAUUACACAGCUUCUCAUUCAGAAGUGGUGAAUAUACAAGCAAAAAUACCUGUAUAUUCAAUUCUAAGUGUGUAUGUCUCUAAUUUUUAUUGAAUACAGCCUCUAAGCUAAUUUAAAAAUGAAAAAUAUCCUGUUGUCAUUUGUUGAUUUUUUUUUUAAUCUUAUAUUAUUUUUUUCUUGGAAGGGCUGAGAAACAAGAAAAGCUGAUUUUAAUUGAGAGCCGUAUUUUUUUGGAGUUCAACAUCCUUAUUUUCUUUUUAAGAGAUUCUGAAUUCUCAGCUAUUUUUUUCCGACCCAUUAACUUCUUAAAACUUAAUGGACCUAUUUUCUCAUUUCCUCACCUUCUUACUCUUGUCCACUUAGUUAAUCUAACACCUGAUUAGUUUCAGCCAAACACAUUUGUUAUUCUUAUAAUUUAUAUGUUGUUCUUAAUGGUUUCUUCAAUACUUUUGCAAAUGCCUCCUUCAUUUUUUACCUGCCUCUAGUUUUGCAUUAAACUACUUUGCUCGCUUCUUUUUUCACUAAGCUGUCACAUCAUCCUUACUCAUGCUUUCUCCAUUAUCAUCACCCACAAGUUUUGACUCAGAAAUCAAAGCUCUUCUAUUAAAUAGACUGUUAUUUCAAUCCCUGAUGGGUAGAUACUUCAUUCUCAUGACUUUACUCAUGCAUUUGUAUAUUAUUUCAGUACAACCCUUUAUUAUUAUUGUUAUAUUGUUUCUGUGUAAUAUGUCACCAUCCUAACACUAUUUUAUGCAAUAAAUGCCAUUAUCUCCUCUUUAUUUACUGAGCAAAGGGCCCUUUGUUUUAACUCUGUGUUUGAGGUUGACUGUAAUUUUCUUUACACUACUCAUUUUCUGAUCUCUAAGGCAUUUAACUCAAAUCUUCAGUCUUUCUCUGACUGCCUGAAGGAGAUCUAAAUUCUUCCCAAAAACUUGAGAAGUUUACUAAUUUAGAAAGAUACAGAUCUAUUUUGUACAAUAUUUGAAUCUCAAAUUUCCUGAUCUGUUCUUUCUUUCCUUAAGUAAAUUCUAUACACCACCUUCAAAUCAGUUUCUGAGCCUCUUAUUUUGAUUUGUCUCCAGCUCAGUUUCCUUCAUUCAUUUUAUCUCAUAGUUUAGUCUGAGAAUUGGACAUCUUAAUUAUAGACCUACUUUUGUUUUCACAAAAUUCAAAGAGAACUGACACAUGUCAGUUUGAUCUCAGGUUGUUUUGCAUUAUCAGAACUUUUUUUACAUUUCCAGUGCUUACCACACUAUCUCUUGAUACAAUUUUGUGUUCAACAGUGAAUUGUAAUAUUAGAAAACAGAGGGAAGCCUGAACAGAAGAACAUGUGACUACAGACAACUAUCUAUCUAGUAAACUCCACUUUCAUUGGCAAUUAAUAUCCAACACCUAACCCUAAAUAAAAAAAACACAAACACACCCUAAAUAAUAACAGUAGAAAAUAAUAAACACAACCUAACUAAAAUAUAUAACAUUUUUACACAAAUUAAAUACAUUUCUAAGAGUAUAUGAUACUAAUGCACCCAACCUCUUCUUGUCCCUUAUCCCAAAACACAGUGAUAUCAGUAGUGAUGACAGCAGAAGUAAUCAACAGUAAUUAACAGCCAUGACUCCAGUACAUCACAGCUACCUUUCUUUAAGCUAACAGGGUGCAGGGUUGUUCCCCAUUCUGAAGCAUUCAUUUUAUUUAUAUUCCAUUUUUUACUGUUAUACAUAGCUUCAAUUAAUUCAUCUGCAGCCUUUGCUUUUUUGACAUCACAUCUGCUUUGCACCACAGACCAUUCCAUCAUUGCACUGCUGAAAUAUUUAUUCAGAAAGUUGUGCAGGUGGAGGGCUGGCAAAAAGAGACGAACAGGACCUUCCAGCUGCACCAUCAGAAAAGAAGACAGGACAUAAUUGGAAUUUCCUAGGUGAAGCACAGUUUGGAUCUCACCAAUUGCCUCUACGUUCUACAUACUAACUCAACAAGGUAAAGCUGAGCUGCAGCAGAGUUAAAACUAGAAGCAAUACUGAGAACUUCAUCAUCUAAGAGAAGCUUUUGUAAAAACUACAUUUUUUUAAGUAAUAUUUUGAUAAUUUUACAUAGAAAUAUAGCCUCUUUAUUUUUACCCAAGAAAAAUGAAUAUAUAGACCAGGAGUUUGAAUGGGAUUAGGAAAAAGACUAAGCAGAUAAACUGUCAGUCCCCAGAUUACUCUAUGUGACAAAGACUGUUGCAGGAGACCUUAUAACAAAGAUGCAAACUUGUAAGAAACACAAGGAAUUAUAUUCACAAAACUAUGAAUCAAAAUAAUAAUUUAAAAACCGCACACUUGAUUAAUGCUUUUUUUCCCCUGAAUAAAGGAAAUACACUUUACUUUUCUUGAAAUAUGGACCAUAAGAGAUCAGCUAAUCUAGACACAUUGUCAAGGCAGGACUGACAGUAUAUUGACACAUUUCUGAUACAGGUUCUUUAAAAAGAAAAAUACCAGCAAUUGCCAUUCCUGAUAUGAAGAAAGGUAUAGAGCUUCUUUUCCUGUAUUAGCUUGAAGUCAAGAGCAUUUAGGGUUUGCUUUUUUUAUCCCUUACAAUUUCCUGUUUGAGGAUCAUAGAAGCUAUUCACUUUAUGUAAUUGUUUCCUUAAAUUGCUGUUUUCAAUUUGCAUAAUGUAUCAUUUAAGUAAAGGUAAAGAAGCAUUUCAUUUUGAUAAUUUCUGCCACAGCUGAGAUUGCAAAAUUGCUUCUUGUUAGAAGGAAAUUUUUAAAAAGUGCAAUCACUGCAACUUUCCAGAUGGCAUCUAACAUAUUUUUCAGUCUGCUGCAGUAGUAUGUUAUAGAUAUGCUUGCUAUUCCGUUCAAGCUAGGAAACAUUUUCUCCAGCUGAGGUAGGUAUUUUGGCCCCACGUUUUCAUAUUGCAUUACAUUCCUUGAAAAUUUCCUUAUUUAUUAGUUCCAUAACUCUAAACAUUUUCUAGUAUUUAAAAAAUUCUCCACAAGUUUGAUUUGCCAAGACACUCUAUUUCUCCACUGCUAAUUUCUUUGCUAUUAAAUCUGAUUAGUUCUUUUCUACAGCCUUAUCUAAGAAUGCCAUCAUUUAACCAAAAUACUAUUCUACAUUUAUCAGUAACUUCUCCUAACUUCAAUUCUCUUCUAUUAUUAAUAGCAAAUAUUGAUACAUGCAGUACCCUAUACCUCAGAUAUACCAACAGGGUGAAAUCCUCAAAACAUAAAACUUCCUAAGUUUCAUGCCUGAUACUUCUCUGGAAUUAGCCUUUAAAUACAGCAUUGCUGGAAAUAUCAAUGUCAUUAUAUUGAAUUAUUCUGCGCAGAUCAAAAUCUGGCAAUUUAUCUAUAAAUAUGUAUUGUUUGUACAUGUUUAGCCCCACAUUCCUGAGCUUUUGACUCAGCCAAGCAUAUGAGUCUUAUACUUCUGUAAAGUCACUACUAACAUGCCUAAACUUUGGCUCAGUGUGGCAAUACCAGCACAGAAACUCAAUUAUUUAAAUAAAAUUAUUUUUUUUAAUCAUUCCUUUAUAGGUGAUAAAAAAUAUAUAGAUCAUGGUGGCUUAAACAAUCCUAUUGCUUAAGACUGCAAAUCAGACCCAGUGCCUCCCAAAGAGAAAAAAAACAGAGUUAGCCUCAAGCUCUUCACCUGGGUCAGGAAUCAUCCUGUGUAUCUGAAUUCUCCCAUUCUCCCUUUGCACUCCAAGGCAAGUAGGGUACAAAUCCUUAUUGCAUCUGCAGAACGGGGAAAUAGGCCUGUGCAAAUAGUCAGCAAAGUAAAACAAGAUUUGUCCUUGAUUUGAUCAUCUUCCUUUUCUUACAUUUAGAAUGCUGUAUUUCUCCAUCUCUCUAUCACUCACAAGUCUGCAAUCUGAUGCAACCCCUCACUUGAAAUUCUUUCAUUAGAUCAAGAGCAUUAAAAUGGGGCAUGUAUAACCAAUAUACUUGGUUGCUAUAUUAAUCUGUCUUUUUCCAUCGGAACUGGACAAAAUUUCCAAGCUUUUUAUUGAAAAUAUGAAAAUUUUUGUUUUCUUGACUUGAAAACUUAGAUGUUUUAAGGAUUUCUUUUUCAAUCACUCUUGUUUUCAAGCUUAAUUUUAACACCAAAGAAAACAAAAAUCUAUGAUAAUGUCAUCUUUUAUGACAUCUCUCUUGGUCAAAGUAAGCUCUAUGACACAUUUCAGCUUCAAAGAACUCCAGUGCUUCCUUUAUGUUUAAUGAUUAUGACAUAGACUCAAGUGAUCUGCAAGAUCUUCAAGAAGGCAGCAAAAUCAGCCACCAGCAUGCAAGAUUCAGGACUGUUUAUUGUCAGACCUGAAAGACUACAAAGAGUGCAGAGCUUAUCUAGAUUGUGUGCACACCAGCCAUGUGGUUAAUGAUUCACAAAGCUAUCACCAUUUCUUAGUCUGGGUGGAAUAUGCUGUGGAAUGUCUCAAGGGAAUGGUUUGUAUAGCACUGCUUGGAUGUGGUCAGAGGCUGUGAAGUUCACAUGUGACAGCACCAGCAAGAUCAUCUGAGAUGUCUGAAAUAUUAAAUAGUUUUAUCUCAAACUGAA